rnacentral:tRNA from 1 species
GGAGAGGUGGCUGAGUGGUCGAAAGCGGUAGAUUGCUAUUCGAAAAUUGUCAUAACUUUAGUUAUCGAGGGUUCGAAUCCCUCUCUCUCCU